CUCCUUAUGGCUAGAAGGCUGAAGAUAGUCUCAGUCCCUUGAGAGACUCCUCACUCAGAACCACAUCCAUCAUUAAUCAAGAAAACUCUCUACACACUUGCCUACAGACACUCUGAUAGAGGCAUUCUCUCAACUGAGAUUCCUCUUCCCAGGUUCAGAGGUUCGGUCAAUUAUCAUCAACAUGGGAACAUG